UACGGAGGAUCCAAGCGUUAUCCGGAAUCAUUGGGUUUAAAGGGUCCGUAGGCGGCCCUGUAAGUCAGUGGUGAAAUCUCCCGGCUCAACCGGGAAACUGCCAUUGAUACUAAUGGUCUUGAAUUUUGUUGAGGUAGGCGGAAUAAGUCAUGUAGCGGUGAAAUGCAUAGAUAUGACUUAGAACACCAAUUGCGAAGGCAGCUUGCUAAACAAACAUUGACGCUGAGGCACGAAAGCGUGGGGAUCAAACAGGA
rnacentral:rRNA from 1 species